rnacentral:tRNA from 8 species
CGGAAGUAGUUCAGUGGUAGAACAUCACCUUGCCAAGGUGGGGGUCGCGGGUUCGAAUCCCGUCUUCCG